rnacentral:rRNA from 1 species
GAUGAACGCUGGCGGCGUGCUUAACACAUGCAAGUCGAACGAUGAAGCCCAGCUUGUUGGGUGGAUUAGUGGCGAACGGGUGAGUAACACGUGAGUAACCUGCCCUUAACUCUGGGAUAAGCCUGGGAAACUGGGUCUAAUACCGGAUAGGAGCGUCCACCGCACGGUGGGUGUUGGAGAGAUUUAUCGGUUUUGGAUGGACUCGCGGCCUAUCAGCUUGUUGGUGAGGUAAUGGCUCACCAAGGCGACGACGGGUAGCCGGCCUGAGAGGGUGACCGGCCACACUGGGACUGAGACACGGCCCAGACUCCUACGGGAGGCAGCAGUGGGGAAUAUUGCACAAUGGGCGAAAGCCUGAUGCAGCGACGCCGCGUGAGGGAUGACGGCCUUCGGGUUGUAAACCUCUUUCAGUAGGGAAGAAGCGAGAGUGACGGUACCUGCAGAAGAAGCACCGGCUAACUACGUG